CUCUCAGAUUUUCUAAAACAUUCUAGAAAAAUUAUAUUUAUUUUUGCUUCCUUGUACAUUAAACUGAAAGAGGGUUUAGUAUUAACAAAAUAAUAAAUAUUCAAAUUCAAAAAGACACAUAUUCCCUCCAGACAGAAGAAGAGGUACAGCUACAGUCAUGGAUCCAUCAUUUGGAUUCAACGUCACUAACCUAAAAAAUUUAAGUUUGUUUUGUUUAUGAAAGGCUUGUAUACAUUCGCGUAGGUUUGAUGGCUAUGGUUAGUUUGUGUUAGUGUCGUUGAAUCCAAAUGAUGGAUCCAUGACAGGCGUUACUGCGAUGAGCCACUCGUA